rnacentral:rRNA from 1 species
UACGAAGGGGGCUAGCGUUGCUCGGAAUUACUGGGCGUAAAGGGCGCGUAGGCGGAUAGUUUAGUCAGAGGUGAAAGCCCUGGGCUCAACCCAGGAAGUGCACUCGAAACUGCGAGGCUAGAGUACUGGAGAGGUUGGUGGAAUUCUCGGUGUAGAGGUGAAAUUCGUAGAUAUCGAGAGGAACACCGGUGGCGAAGGCGGCCAACUGGACAGAUACUGACGCUGAGACACGAAAGCGUGGGGAGCAAACAGG